rnacentral:rRNA from 1 species
UAGGGAAUCUUCGGCAAUGGGGGGCAACCCUGACCGAGCAACGCCGCGUGAGUGGAGAAGGUUUUCGGAUCGUAAAGCUCUGUUGUAAGAGAAGAACGUGUGUGAGAGUGGAAAGUUCACACAGUGACGGUAACUUACCAGAAAGGGACGGCUAACUACGUGCCAG